GAUGAACGCUAGCGGCAGGCCUAAUACAUGCAAGUCGAACGGUGUCUUCGGACAUAGUGGCGCACGGGUGCGUAACACGUAUGCAACCUACCUUACAUUGGGGGAUAGCCUUUCGAAAGGGAGAUUAAUACCGCAUAAGACAGUAGCUGGGCAUCCAGCAGCUGUUAAAGAUUUAUCGAUGUAAGCUGGGCAUGCGUCCAAUUAGCUAGUUGGUGAGGUAACGGCUCACCAAGGCAAUGAUUGGUAGGGGAACUGAGAAGUCAAUCCCCCACACUGGCACUGAGAUACGGGCCAGACUCCUACGGGAGGCAGCAGUAAGGAAUAUUGGGCAAUGGACGCAAGUCUGACCCAGCCAGGCCGCGUGCAGGAUGAAGGCGUUAUGCGUUGUAAACUGCUUUUAUACAGGAAGAAACGACUCUUGCGAGAGGCAUUGACGGUACUGUAUGAAUAAGCACCGGCUAACUCCGCGCCAGCAGCCGCCGUAACAC
rnacentral:rRNA from 1 species